GGAGCCCUAAGACCACAGAUUGUUUCAGGAUCAGUUCACUGAUGUUGGACGCAAAUGUCUGAGAGGAGGAGUCAAUGCAAAAACCCAGAGAGCUUCUUCAUAUCUGAGCGCAGGGAUGUUGACAGAGAAAAGCGGACUCAUCUCAACAUGAUGGACUGUAGGAUAAGACUGCUGUUUUUAACUCUCUGUUUGGCAGGUGUUAAUGGUCAGACUCUGACAGAAUCUGAACCAGCAGUUAAACAACCUGGAGAGUCUCACAGACUGACCUGUACAACAUCUGGAAUCUCAUUCAGCAGCUACAAUAUGGUCUGGAUCAGACAGGCUCCUGGAAAAGGACUGGAGUGGAUCGCUUAUAUCACCCCUGCUGGUAGCAAAUACUACUCUCAGUCAGUACAAGGCAGGUUUACCAUCUCCAGAGACAACAGCAGAGAGCAGUUGUAUCUGCAGAUGAACAGCCUGAAGACUGAAGAUUCUGCUGUUUAUUAUUGUGCCCGAGAGUCACAGUGAUAGGAGUUGGUUAAGCAGCUGUACAAAAUCCUUCCGGGUUUUAUUUUAUUGCCUCCCCACCUUCAAUAAAACAGAACAACUUUACGCCCAAUGUUAAUCAAUAAAUGACACGAAAACUGACGGACCUUUACUGACAGUCUGUACAUAUGUUCGUUACAUUACCUCAAUACUUUCAAAAAAAGUCUGACAUUCAAGAGAGUUUCUCCAAGAAAUGGCAUUACAUAUUUAAAACUCUUGUUUUGUUCUUGCAGGAGUUUGGAGUGAGAUCAAACUGGAGCAGUCUCCCUCUGAGGUGAAAAGACCUGGAGAGAGAGUGAAGAUGUCAUGUAUCCUAUCUGGUUAUACCUUGACAGGUUAAAAUAUUGGCUGGAUAUGACAGAGACCAGGGGGAGCUCUGGAGUGGAUUGGGUGGAUGAAAACAGGAAGAAACUCUGCUACCUAUGGCAGUUCUUUUCAAAGUCAUGACUGAAGUAAUCAUGACUGAAGAAGACUCCAGCAGAAAGUACACCUGUUGUUUACUCAUGUAACAUAAGAACAGCUGCUUAAAAACCUCAUCAUGUACUAAUAUCAAGUAACAAUGUGAUCUUAUGACUUCUGCUUUUUCUCUGCAGAUGAAAAAAAGUUUUUAUUUAUCCAUAUUUAUUAUUUUAUUCUAAAGUGAUGACAAUAUAUCCAUUAUUAAAA